rnacentral:rRNA from 1 species
GAUGAACGCUGGCGGCGUGCCUAAUACAUGCAAGUCGAGCGAACGGACGAGAAGCUUUCUUCUCUGAUGUUAGCGGCGGACGUGUGAGUAACACGUGGAUAACCUACCUAUAAGACUGGGAUAACUUCGUGUAACCGUAGCUAAUACCGGAUAAUAUUUUGAACCGCAUGGUUCAAAAGUGAAAGACGGUCUUGCUGUCACUUAUAGAUGGAUCCGCGCUGCAUUAGCUAGUUGGUAAGGUAACGGCUUACCAAGGCAACGAUGCAUAGCCGACCUGAGAGGGUGAUCGGCCACACUGGAACUGAGACACGGUCCAGACUCCUACGGGAGGCAGCAGUAGGGAAUCUUCCGCAAUGGGCGGAAGCCUGACGGAGCAACGCCGCGUGAGUGAUGAAGGUCUUCGGAUCGUAAAACGCUGUUAUUAGGGAAGAACAUAUGUGUAAGUAACUGUGAGCAUCUUGACGGUACCGAAUCAGAAAGCAACGGCUAACUACGUG